rnacentral:lncRNA from 1 species
ACAGGGUACUACAGAGCUAUGUUGUACAGGUGUAUAGGCCAGGUGACAGGGUACUAUAGAGCUAUGUUGAACAGGUGUACAGGGUACUACAGCGCUAUAUUGAACAGGUGUAUAGGCCAGGUGACAGAGUACUAUAGAGCUAUGUUGAACAGGUGUAGAGGCCAGGUGUACAGGGUACUACAGAGCUAUGUUGAACAGGUGUAUAGGCCAGGUGUACAGGGUACUACAGCGCUAUAUUGAACAGGUGUAUAGGCCAGGUGUACAGGGUACUACAGAGCAUUGUUGUACAGGUGUACAGGGUACUACAGCGCUAUAUUGAACAGGUGUAUAGGCCAGGUGUACAGGGCCCUGCCAACCUGUACCUUAACCUCAGGGCCUAUCAGGCCGCUGUACAUACAGACGGUAGCAGCAGCCUCCUCCCCUGUUCAUGUCCAGCUGGAAGAUUUGGAUCGGCUCCCACAACGACAGUCAGGGGUGAGUGUGCUACGUUUGGGACUGCUAGGAAUCCUUAAGGUGUUUAACCCAAGAACUCGUACAUAUUCAACAUCUGGAUGGAUACUGAAC